rnacentral:lncRNA from 1 species
ACAGCGAGACGGGCGGUGGGGCGGAGCCGAGGCCCAGGAACGGAGGUGGAGGAGCAGACCCGGGCGACGCGGCCCGCGAGCGAGAGGGUCGUCCGGGUCAGUCCAGCGCAACUCGGGUCACCAGUCCCAGGGCCCUGGUCCCCUUAUUGGAUCUAUGUCUGGGUUUGCUGAAGCACCCGCUGGGCCCAGGACUGCAGAGACGCCCCUACCCAGGCUGUGCCCCGGGUGGAGGGGGACAGGGGGAACGGCUUCAUCGCGGGGUUCGGGGCAGGACAGCUCAGGACCUGCGGAGAUACUGGAUGGUGUAGGAUCCCAGGCCAAAGGUGGCGCACCCUGAGAUCAGCAGCCCAGCUCCCUGCAGCCUUGAGGAGGGCGCUGCCUGCGUCUUUGGGAGCCUCAGCUUCCCCUCCGGUUCCGGGCCUUGGAGUGCUGGUCUGCAGCUGCGGCCUGGCUCUGUGCCCGGCCUGACCCUCGUUCACACUGCACACCCCUGGAGGCAGGACAGAAAGUGUGCACAGCGAAGACCCUGACACCCUACUGGUUGAUGAUCCAAAUCCCGAGGUCCCUCUCAGAGUCCGGUGAGAUCCAGAGCCAGCUAGAGGAAGAAAGUGGCCGCGUCAGCUCCCGAAAGGCCGUCUGGGUGAGGUUGAAAGGAAAAGCCAACAGGAGUUCCCAUCGUGGGGCUUCGGAAACAAUCCGACCAGGAACCAUGAGGUUGCGGUUUCCAUCCCUGGCCUGGCUCAGUGGAUUAAGGAUCCGGUGUCUCUGUGGCUAUGGUGUAGGCCGGCAGCCGUAGCUCCCAUUCGACCAGCAGGCUCUCGGGUCCACCUCCUCUCCCCGUGGUCCUGUGCUGCCUCUUCCUACCCUGCUCCUCAGCAGCUCAGUGCAACUCUCCUGUCCCCCGCAUCCUCCCUGGUCGCACGCAGAGAGCAUCUGUGCAAAGACAACAGACGCGGCCACCCAGACCCUUUAGCUCACAGAGGAUGCCCUGAACGGACUCCCAGGGAGCCUACAGAAGACCACGGACUUGAGAAGGCACUGUGAACUGCUUGGUAGCAUCUGCAAGAUGGGGUUUGGUUUCAGGUCUGUGUCCUGCCCGCCACCCUCAGGCCCCGGUGGGCUCAGGAGGGCCUUGGGCACAGCCCGAGGGGCCUCGACCCUCAUACAGUGCAGAGCAAAGUCAGAGAUGGGUGGAGGCAGCUGCUGCUCCGGGUGGGAGCUGAUGACAUCCCGCCUGUCGUGUAGACAUUUGAGUUAACUGGCCCUGGGGUUGCCAAUAAUCUCAGUCAGGUCAAAGCCUCCACUCGGAGACGUUUGGGGCAGAAACCUGCUGAUUUACCCCUUGUUUUAACUCUUGGGGAACAAGGGGAUUGCUGACCGCUCCCACUGGCAGGGAGCAGGGAGUGGAAAGAGAACAGCCCUCGAGGGAGAGGCCAAGGAGCCCGUCUGCUCCGGCUCUGCACCGUCCAGCACAGUGGCCUCAGCCUGUCCCAACUGCGAUGUGCGAAUGUGCACAAGAAACACCUGAUUUCAAAGACGUUGAAAAAAAUGCCAAAUAUCUUUCUAAUAAUUUUAUAUUGAUUGCCUCUGGAAAUUAUGUUUUAGAUGUGUUAAGGUAAAUAAAAUAUAUUAUUAAAUUU